UACCUGGUUGAUCCUGCCAGUAGUGAUACGCUUGUCUCAAAGAUUAAGCCAUGCAAGUGCAAGUACAGGCCGGUUACACGGCAAAAACCGCGANCGGCUCAUUAAAACGGUCGUAAUUUACUGGAUCGUACGAAAUCCAAGUGGAUAACUGUGGUAAUUCUAGAGCUAAUACAUGCACACGAGCUCCGAUCCUCGCUGAUCGGCAACGGUCAGCUCGGCUUNGCGGCCGAGUAGAGGUACGAGCGCUUUUAUUAGAUCAAGACCGACCGAGCAUUCGUGCUCGUUACACCUUAGGGUGUUUAUUCUCGNUGGUGACUCUGGAUAACUGUAGCCGAUCGCUAACGGCCUUUGAGNCGGCGACGGUUCCUCUAAGCGUCUGACUUAUCAACUGUCGACGGUAGAUUAACAAGCCUACCGUGGUGAUAACGGGUAACGGAGAAUCAGGGUUCGAUUCCGGAGAGGGAGCCUGAGAAACGGCUACCACAUCCAAGGAAGGCAGCAGGCGCGCAAAUUACCCACUCCCGGCACGGGGAGGUAGUGACGAAAAAUAACGAUGCGGGACUCAUUUCCGAGGCCCCGUAAUCGGAAUGAGAAAAANGUAAACGAGUUAACGAGGAUCGAUUGGAGGGCAAGUCUGGUGCCAGCAGCCGCGGUAAUUCCAGCUCCAAUAGCGUAUAUUAAAGUUGUUGCGGUUAAAAAGCUCGUAGUCGGAUUGACAGCUUCGGCCGCGACGGUCUGAGCUCUGCUUAGUCGUUGUCGUCCGUACACGUCGGAUCGCCGCGAGGCUUUCUGCGUUACGCGUCGCAUCGACGGUAGGCUCAGUUGCUUCGGCAAAAAAGCCGUCCGGUUUCCGAAGUGCAAAAUCGUCGGAAUAUUUAUAUAUUCCUGAUUUGCCGACGGUCGUUCGCAAUCGCGUUNNUNGNAGCGCGAGCGUGCUNGAGUUCGCAUAUCCUUAACUNCGACGUGCAANUNNGGCAAGACCGUCGGCGUAUCACUUUGAAAAAAUUAGAGUGCUCAAAGCGGGCGAGGCGUCCCUUACGGGGCGCUGCAUAUCGCUCGAACAGGUCAGCAUGGAAUGACGGAAAAGGACCGCGGUUCUAUUCUGUCGGUAAAAAUGUUGCGUGCAAACGCAACGUCCCUUGUGGGACUCGCGGUAAUGAUCGAUAGAGACUGACGGGGGCAUUCGUACUGCGACGCUAGAGGUGAAAUUCUUGGACCGUCGCAAGACGCACUACUGCGAAAGCAUUUGCCAAGAAUCCUCUCCGUUGAUCAAGAACGAAAGUUGGAGGUUCGAAGGCGAUCAGNUNCCNNCCUAGUUCUANCCGUAAANGAUGCCAACUGACGAUUCGCUCGCGUUAAUUUAUUAAAAAAAAUGACCGAGUGAGCAGUCUCCGGGAAACCAAAGUUUUCAGGUUCCGGGGGAAGUAUGGUUGCAAAGCUGAAACUUAAAGGAAUUGACGGAAGGGCACCACCAGGAGUGGAGCCUGCGGCUUAAUUUGACUCAACACGGGAAAACUCACCCGGCCCGGACACUGUAAAGGUUGACGUAUUAAGAGCUACUUCUCGAUNCAGUGGGUGGUGGUGCAUGGCCGUUCUUAGNUGGUGGAGUGAUUUGUCUGGNUGAUUCCNAUANCGAACGAGACUCUAGCCUGCUAAAUAGAAGUCCGAUUAACGGCGUUAUUGGGAGCGGNGUCGANAUCGCAAGGUGCUCGNCGUCGUUACCCUUUUUCGCAUCGNCGGGCGUAACUGUAGCGAUACAGNUCGCUUCUUAGAGGGACUGGCGGCGUCUAGCCGCACGAAAUUGAGCGAUAACAGGUCUGUGAUGCCCUUAGAUGUCCGGGGCCGCACGCGCGCUACACUGNNCGAGUCAACGUGCGUAACCUCAAACCCUGUCCGAAAGGACCGGGCAACCCGUUGAAUCUCGUUCGUGAUAGGGAUCGGGGCUUGCAAUUGUUCCCCGUGAACGAGGAAUUCCCAGUAGGUGCGAGUCAUUAACUCGCGCCGACUACGUCCCUGCCCUUNGUACACACCGCCCGUCGCUACUACCGAUCGAAUGGUUUAGCGAGGUCUUCGGACCGUUCGAACGGCGGAGCGCGAGCUUCGACGUUCGAUCUGGAAAGAUGACCGAACUAGGCUAUUUAGAGGAAGUAAAAGUCGUAACAAGGUUUCCGUAGGUGAACCUGCGGAAGGAUC
rnacentral:rRNA from 1 species